ACGAUGAAUCUUCUAGCUUGCUAGAAGUGGGUUAGUGGCGCACGGGUGAGUAAUGCAUAGGUUAUGUGCCCUUUAGUCUGGGAUAGCCACUGGAAACGGUGAUUAAUACUGGAUACUCCCUACGGGGGAAAGUUUUUCGCUAAAGGAUCAGCCUAUGUCCUAUCAGCUUGUUGGUGAGGUAAUGGCUCACCAAGGCUAUGACGGGUAUCCGGCCUGAGAGGGUGAUCGGACACACUGGAACUGAGACACGGUCCAGACUCCUACGGGAGGCAGCAGUAGGGAAUAUUGCUCAAUGGGGGAAACCCUGAAGCAGCAACGCCGCGUGGAGGAUGAAGGUUUUAGGAUUGUAAACUCCUUUUGUUAGAGAAGAUUAUGACGGUAUCUAACGAAUAAGCACCGGCUAACUCCGUGCCAGCAGCCGCGGUAAUACGGAGGGUGCAAGCGUUACUCGGAAUCACUGGGCGUAAAGAGUGCGUAGGCGGGGUAAUAAGUCAGAUGUGAAAUCCUGUAGCUUAACUACAGAACUGCAUUUGAAACUGUUACUCUGGAGUGUGGGAGAGGUAGGUGGAAUUCUUGGUGUAGGGGUAAAAUCCGUAGAGAUCAAGAGGAAUACUCAUUGCGAAGGCGACCUGCUGGAACAUUACUGACGCUGAUGCACGAAAGCGUGGGGAGCAAACAGGAUUAGAUACCCUGGUAGUCCACGCCCUAAACGAUGGAUGCUAGUUGUUGCCUUGCUUGUCAGGGCAGUAAUGCAGCUAACGCAUUAAGCAUCCCGCCUGGGGAGUACGGUCGCAAGAUUAAAACUCAAAGGAAUAGACGGGGACCCGCACAAGCGGUGGAGCAUGUGGUUUAAUUCGAAGAUACGCGAAGAACCUUACCUAGGC
rnacentral:rRNA from 1 species